ACCCUACUCUGAUGCAGGUGGCUUCGUCAGGAUGCAAAAUAUUUCAUUUGCAUAUAUUUACCCAAAAGGACAUAAUUGAAGUGUGGUCAAAGAGAAAGCCAAGUGCAACAUCUCAGACCUUUUGGAAGUACGGCCUGCGUGCACAUACCAAAAGACAGGAGAUGCAAGCUGGAUUCAAAAUCACUGACAUGCAUCUUGCUUGGCCACUGCCAUGAAAGCAAAGGUUACAGAUUAUGGAAUCCAAGUACCAAAAAGCUUGUCAAGUCUAGAGAUGUCAUAUUCAAAGAAACAGUGCAAGUCACAGAAAUAUUGGAAUUUAAAAUGCCGAACAACUAUGUGUAUCUGAUCAUGCCAGCAACUGGAGAUAUAUCUGAACCAGAAGUUACCAACAUGGAAGUUCAACCACAGAAAAGGUUGCUACGAAAAAGUGACUGAGCUACUGCACAGACUACAUGUUGAUGUUCCUGCAGGGAAUCUUCAUCCUCUGUACCAAGAUGGCCACUGAGGCUACUACUAAACAGGUGCAGCGCCAUCUUGGGACUGUGAGAGAGUGCCACAGUGGGAGACAGUAGUCUUCACUUACAUGUUUACAUGCAAUAUAACCGCUGUUCCAGCAUACUGCACCGCUACCCGGUACCCACAUACACUCCCCGGCCGGUAAACUGUAUGAAACCCUGGUCCACUUAAGCUGGCUCCAUCUACCAGUGUGUAUAGUAAGUACGGCUGUACCUGCUUCAUCUUCAAUAAAACCACU